UACGUAGGGUGCAGGCGUUAAUCGGAAUUACUGGGCGUAAAGCGCGCGUAGGCGGCCACUUAAGUCGGAUGUGAAAGCCCCUGGCUCAACUGGGGAAGUGCACCCGAAACUGAAUGGCUUGAGUGCGAAAGAGGGUCGCGGAAUUCCCGGUGUAGAGGUGAAAUUCGUAGAUAUUGGGAAGAACACCAGUGGCGAAGGCGGCUCACUGGCCCGUAACUGACGCUGAGGUGCGAAAGCGUGGGGAGCAAACAGG
rnacentral:rRNA from 1 species